rnacentral:sRNA from 1 species
CCCUAGCCCCGAUUGAAACGGAAAUCCUUUUUAACGGAGCAACGCGCAGUUAAAAAGAUUGCAGUGCAAAGCGGGAAAUGGC